GAUGAACGCUGGCGGCGUGCCUAAUACAUGCAAGUCGAGCGAACAGACGAGGAGCUUGCUCCUCCGACGUUAGCGGCGGACGGGUGAGUAACACGUGGAUAACCUACCUAUAAGACUGGGAUAACUUCGGGAAACCGGAGCUAAUACCGGAUAAUAUAUUGAACCGCAUGGUUCAAUAGUGAAAGACGGUUUUGCUGUCACUUAUAGAUGGAUCCGCGCCGCAUUAGCUAGUUGGUAAGGUAACGGCUUACCAAGGCGACGAUGCGUAGCCGACCUGAGAGGGUGAUCGGCCACACUGGAACUGAGACACGGUCCAGACUCCUACGGGAGGCAGCAGUAGGGAAUCUUCCGCAAUGGGCGAAAGCCUGACGGAGCAACGCCGCGUGAGUGAUGAAAGUCUUCGGAUCGUAAAACUCUGUUAUUAGGGAAGAACAAAUGUGUAAGUAACUAUGCACGUCUUGACGGUACCUAAUCAGAAAGCCACGGCUAACUACGUG
rnacentral:rRNA from 1 species